UAUUGCUAUAGGCACGGUAAAGGCUGGGUAUGCUACGCAAUUCAGAUCCUAUUGUGAUCCACUAGCCUCUACCCAGCAACUCCUAUCCCUACCUUCUCGUGGUACCGGCCGGAACCUACGAGCAAGCUUAGGGAAGAUCGGGUAACCAACCCCGGUGGGAACUUUGGUCGUAGGCUGACAGGGAAGGG
rnacentral:ribozyme from 1 species